ACCAGACUCCUACGGGAGGCAGCAGUGGGGGAUAUUGCACAAUGGGGGAAACCCUGAUGCAGCGACGCCGCGUGAGUGAAGAAGUAUUUCGGUAUGUAAAGCUCUAUCAGCAGGGAAGAAAAAAGACGGUACCUGACUAAGAAGCCCCGGCUAACUACGUGCCAGCAGCCGCGGUAAUACGUAGGGGGCAAGCGUUAUCCGGAUUUACUGGGUGUAAAGGGAGCGCAGACGGCUGUGCAAGUCUGGAGUGAAAGGCGGGGGCCCAACCCCCGGACUGCUCUGGAAACUGUAAAGCUGGAGUGCAGGAGAGGUAAGCGGAAUUCCUAGUGUAGCGGUGAAAUGCGUAGAUAUUAGGAGGAACACCAGUGGCGAAGGCGGCUUACUGGACUGCAACUGACGUUGAGGCUCGAAAGCGUGGGGAGCAAACAGGAUUAGAUACCCGAGUA
rnacentral:rRNA from 1 species